rnacentral:rRNA from 1 species
UACGGAGGGGGCUAGCGUUGUUCGGAAUUACUGGGCGUAAAGCGCACGUAGGCGGCGAUUUAAGUCAGAGGUGAAAGCCCGGGGCUCAACCCCGGAAUAGCCUUUGAGACUGGAUUGCUUGAACAUCGGAGAGGUGAGUGGAAUUCCGAGUGUAGAGGUGAAAUUCGUAGAUAUUCGGAAGAACACCAGUGCGAAGGCGGCUCACUGGACGAUUGUUGACGCUGAGGUGCGAAAGCGUGGGGAGCAAACAGG